GGAUCCGAUCGCUGGGGAUAAUGACGCAUGGAAUCGUGAUAUAUACGGAAGUGACGUGUACCGACAUGGAGACAGAAGGUGGAGAAACAGGAGAAUAGACAGAUAUUGAUGUAGAGGCCAUGAAGUGUGGAAAAGAUCCAUGUGGCCAAAGAUUGAAAUUGAAAAAUCCAUUUAAAAGUGAAUUCUUUCAUUGUUACACUCAUUUGUAAAUUCAUAUGCGCCCAUGUAAAUAAACUCAUAUUCAAUAUAAACAUA